CCUCUCGGGGGUAAGCGGGCAGAACUUGCAAGUAAUGGUGAGAAGAUUCAGACUUUGUAUUCAAAGUUGAGAGUGUUUGUUAAGUUGUCUGUUCGCAGGCUGACUGAUUUGUACUCUUUGAUCAUAUGGAUAAUGCGUCGCAUUUCUUCUCAUCUUCGGGUUGCAUGCAACUGAGUUUUGGUAAUUUAGGUGCUGGGGUACUGCGAAUCCUUGUUGGUUCGAGUCCUGGUCUCCAAUUACUUAUGCGGUUGUUAAAAUUUGAUCGAACAUGCGUUUAACGCGGUCAAUCAUAUUUACGAACAGUGUAUACAUUAUUUGUGGACGAGUAAUCGUAGCACGUGGUGUGUACUGGUUGUCGGUGAGUAUGAAUUUGGCAUUGUUCAAGUAUUGCAAUCUAAAGCAUGCGUGGUCUGCCUGU
rnacentral:rRNA from 1 species